UUCUCUUGUCUCUUUGUCUGCAUUUUGGCAGAGUUGCACACAGAAGCAAAUACAGACAUGUUUGGCAAAUGAUCCAUCAACCCUACAGAUACCGCAGUCCAAUGUCCAAAUCAGAACAAACAAGUCGCAUUUCUCCUAGAAGGGUCCUCCCUGGCCCCAAUAAUAUAUCAUUGUCCAUAUAGUACGAAUGACAUACAUACAUGCAUGAUAUUUGGGACGGUGAGCUAACCCCAUCCUGGCAAAACGCAAUGGCAAACACCCUCCGACGAGAUCCCCCGCAAAAAAAAAACACCCUCCGACGAGACACCACACGAUAUUUGGCAUACCAAACCAGCACGAGGGCCUAUUACUCGGGACGUCGACGUCGAGCCCUCCAACCCAAGUGGGGGGAGCGCCCAUGCCCGUCGUCCCCGAUUCCCCGCGGUCCAGCCUUCCGGGGCGAAAGAGGCCGAGUAGACGGUGAGCUCGGCUCGUCGCCACGCUCCGGCCGGGCUCCGGAUCUCGGCCACAUGCGGCCGGUAGACGUCGCCGUCCAGAGUUUUACCCCGGUUGGCAUGCUGGCAUCUCGAUCCCCGGAGCAGCUGAGGCCGGCCUUCUCUUCCCAGUUAAUACCAGUUACCACCACGGCGCUCUUGCGUGGCGCUGUACUACUGUAGCCUG
rnacentral:rRNA from 1 species